rnacentral:lncRNA from 1 species
CCCAGAUCACAGGAAUCGCGGGGAAGGGCUUAAGGAAACUUCGGGGUGCUGCUGCUAGAAGAAGGGGAGACGGAUGCGUCACAAGAGAAGCAAUGUGUGUCUGUACCCCAGUGCUUUGUCGGUCCAGUGAGCGAGCCUGAGGCAGCUGAGAGAGGGAGGAAGGCAGCUGCUCGUGGCCUCAGAGGGGGCGAGGGCCUCACUGGGCAGCCUGGCCCCAAGUCCUGCUGCUCUGCUGUGCCACGAGCCCCCAUCUCCGACAGUUCCCCCGGCCCUGCUCCUCCCGGCUGCUGCGGGAAGGCACCCAGGCCCUAAGCCAGCCACGAUGGCCAGUGUGGCAGCUGGAUAGUGCCACCCAAAGAUGUCCAGGUCCUAAUCCCCGAAACCCAAGAAUAUGUGACCUUCCAUGGCAAAGGGACUUUGCGGAUGUGGUUAAGUUGUGGGUGUUGAGACAGGGAGGUUGUCCUGAAUGACCCAGGUGGGCCCGACGCGAUCACCAGCAUCCUCACGUGAGGGAGGCAGCCGGAGAUUGGACACAGAAGUAGGACAGGUGACAGUAGGAGUAAGAGGUUGGAGUGAUGCGAGGAAGAGGUCACAAGCCAAGAGUGCAGGUGGCCCGCAGAAGGUGGAAAAGGCAAGGAAACGGACUGUCCCCCGGAGACUGCAGAGGGCGCCAGCUCUGCCCGCACCGUGACUUCCGCCCAGCGAGAUGGAGUUGGGACUCCUGGCCUCUGGAACUGUAAGGGGAUACGUUUGUGUUGUUUGAAAAGUGAGCAAGACACAGAGUUUCAGUUUUGCAAGAUGGAAAAACUUCUGCGGAGCUGUUUCACAACGAUGAGCCAUGAUGUCCCAGGAGGAGGACCAUCCAUUCACCCAACACAUUCUGCCCGUGUAGAUGUCUGCACUGUUCCCUUCCUCACGCUGCCUUUCCUGAAGUCAGCUUAGCAGUUCCUAUGCGUCCCGCAAAUGCCUCUCCUAAAGAUGCCCCCCGUGUCCUGUGUCACACUGAAUAGUUAUUCUGUGUUGGGCUCCCUCUGGCCCAGGACUUCUGUAGGACAGAGCUCUGACCCCAGGGCCAUUGACCGUGCUGCCCCCUCUCUGCAGCUCACAGCAGCCUCCACACCCUGUCCCUGCACGGGGACAUUUUUGGCCACUGGCACGUACCACAGUGG